GACGAACGCUGGCGGCGUGCUUAACACAUGCAAGUCGAACGGAAAGGCCCUGCUUUUGUGGGGUGCUCGAGUGGCGAACGGGUGAGUAACACGUGAGUAACCUGCCCUUGACUUUGGGAUAACUUCAGGAAACUGGGGCUAAUACCGGAUAGGAGCUCCUGCUGCAUGGUGGGGGUUGGAAAGUUUCGGCGGUUGGGGAUGGACUCGCGGCUUAUCAGCUUGUUGGUGGGGUAGUGGCUUACCAAGGCUUUGACGGGUAGCCGGCCUGAGAGGGUGACCGGCCACAUGGGGACUGAGAUACGGCCCAGACGCCUACGGGAGGCAGCAGUGGGGAAUAUUGCACAAGGGGCGGAAGCCUGAGGCAGCAACGCCGCGUGCGGGAGGACGGCCUUCGGGUUGUAAACCGCUUUCGCCUGUGACGAAGCGUGAGUGACGGUAAUGGGUAAAGAAGCACCGGCUAACUACGU
rnacentral:rRNA from 1 species